AAGAAGCAAGACCGUGAGGUGGAGCAAAACUCAAAAACUUAGUCUCAGUUCGGAUUGUAGGCUGAAACUCGCCUACAUGAAGCUGGAGUUGCUAGUAAUCGCGAAUCAGCAUGUCGCGGUGAAUACGUUCCCGGGCCUUGUACACACCGCCCGUCACACCAUGAGAGUUGGCAAUACCCAACGUACGUGAUCUAACCCGCAAGGGAGGAAGCGUCCUAAGGUAGGGUCAGCGAUUGGGGUGAAGUCGUAACAAGGUAUC
rnacentral:rRNA from 1 species